GGGGAUGAUCGGUAUCGACGAAGGGGGUUGGAACCAGGUUGCAAGCCGAGAGGCGCCGAGCUCGUAAAAUCAGCGCAACUAAAAAGUGCCAAUCGCACAAACUAUGCGGCUCUGCCGCUCGCUGCAUAAAGUAGCGAGCUAGAGCUGGCCCUCAGAAAGAGGGCUCGCCUCCCGUAACCGCCCUCGACCGGGUGCGGUGCAGGCGGCAGAAAGUCGGGGUGCCGCAGGGGAGGCCCCUAAACCUGCGAAAGAUGGACUUUCGGGUCCUAGCGGCUGGCCAAAGGUGAGCCCUUCCGGCCGGGCUCCCGGCGGCGAGAACACAAUAGACCGGCCAAGCUUGUAGAAGCCCGGUUACCGAAGCCUUUGGACGCGGGUUCGAUUCCCGCCAUCUCCACCU
rnacentral:tmRNA from 1 species